rnacentral:lncRNA from 1 species
GAAAGUGAGGAGAUUUCUUAGAAAAUAGGUUUUAUUUAAGGUUUUUUUUUUUGUUUGUUUGUUUGUUUUGUCUUGUUUUUUUUUUUUUUUUUUUUUUUUUUUUUUUUUUCAGAUGAUGACCAUGAAUUCCAAAGGGAGAAGUAGAAGAGUUUGGUGCAUUGCUGGGGCAGAGGUGGUAGACAUGAAUGAGACCCAGGACACACAAUGUUGAUGGCUGAGUACAAGAGGCAUUGAGAAGAGAAAAUGAAAUGCUGACAUUGAGGAUGUCACCAGAUGGGAGAACAGAGCCAGCUGGAAAGUGG